AGAGUUUGAUCAUGGCUCAGAUUGAACGCUGGCGGCAGGCCUAACACAUGCAAGUCGAGCGGUAGCACAGAGAGCUUGCUCUCGGGUGACGAGCGGCGGACGGGUGAGUAAUGUCUGGGAAACUGCCUGAUGGAGGGGGAUAACUACUGGAAACGGUAGCUAAUACCGCAUAAUGUCGCAAGACCAAAGUGGGGGACCUUCGGGCCUCAUGCCAUCAGAUGUGCCCAGAUGGGAUUAGCUAGUAGGUGGGGUAACGGCUCACCUAGGCGGCGAUCCCUAGCUGGUCUGAGAGGAUGACCAGCCACACUGGAACUGAGACACGGUCCAGACUCCUACGGGAGGCAGCAGUGGGGAAUAUUGCACAAUGGGCGCAAGCCUGAUGCAGCCAUGCCGCGUGUAUGAAGAAGGCCUUCGGGUUGUAAAGUACUUUCAGCGGGGAGGAAGGCGAUAAGGUUAAUAACCUUGUCGAUUGACGUUACCCGCAGAAGAAGCACCGGCUAACUCCGUGCCAGCAGCCGCGGUAAUACGGAGGGUGCAAGCGUUAAUCGGAAUUACUGGGCGUAAAGCGCACGCAGGCGGUCUGUCAAGUCGGAUGUGAAAUCCCCGGGCUCAACCUGGGAACUGCAUUCGAAACUGGCAGGCUAGAGUCUUGUAGAGGGGGGUAGAAUUCCAGGUGUAGCGGUGAAAUGCGUAGAGAUCUGGAGGAAUACCGGUGGCGAAGGCGGCCCC
rnacentral:rRNA from 1 species